AUUUUAUUUACCGCUAUUGUUUUGGAUUAGUUUAUUGUAUUAUUGUUUACUAAUUAUUGUUUACUAACUUUGUUAAUAUAUUUUUAUGUUAUUUUUUAAACAAAACAUAUACCGAGAGUGUUAAGUAAAACAUGUACAAAGGCUUCAUUCCAAACAGUUAUGCAUGUCUAAGAUGAAGAUGAUGAAGAUUUGCUUUCACAUCAGAGUAAUGUUUGUGAAUACAUCAAACAUUUUAUUAGAGUCAUGACUUUGUAAAACUUAAUGAAAAAAACUGUCUAGUAAAAGACUUUUAUUUAAAAAAAAUCUCUGUUAAGUUUAGAAUUAUUCAACUAAAAUUUAAUCUAAAAGAUAACUUCUAGAAAAAGUUGUUGUGCAUACACCUCGAUGUGUUCUUUUUCACUAAUUCUUUGUAAAUAAAAAGUUAAUUUGUUGAUGAAAUAUAUAUCAAGUUUAGCCCAUUU